rnacentral:rRNA from 1 species
CACCAUCACACAGUAACUCGUUGAUUUUUUCCCAUCCCCUUUCUCCUUACCUCCAUUGACUCCAAAAUAGCAACCACGGAUGAGGUUCGACUGGUAGCGCUGGUACAUCUGAAGCUCCGCUUCUUGAGCAUGCAAGCAGCUGACUCACUGGUAGCGCUGGUACAUCUGAAGCUCCGCUUCUUGAGCACGCAAGCAGCUGACUCGCCUAUGCUGGCCCAGGCUAACCAUGUACGGCGGCUGAUUUUGGUCCUCGUACGGCUCCAUGGUCUCGUAGGCUGGUAAACUGCGAUGCUAGCAGCAGCAGGUGCCCAAGGUUGGAUCCGACUCGAGUUUGAGGCUGUUGGCAACUCUUCUUCCCCAAACGCACCGGACGCAUCGUCGUUAUUCCCAGUCGAGGCUGCCCGGCACUUCGUCGUCAUCGUCCACAGCGGCAACACUCUUCCAAGUUCGAAGUUUGACCUGUAGGUCCCUAUUUUCUAUUUCCUUUUUUGAGGGACUAUUUUCUAUUUCCUGAGUGUCAUAUUUAACUUUUUUCUUUUACAUUUUCCUGUUUUUAAGCGAUUGAAUUAGUUUAAUUAAGGAAAUGCCUCUUUGUCGAAAACGCUUCUUCAUUUUUUCCUUCAAAUCUUGGGUAAACAUGUGAUUCAUUUUAAGUGUUUUUUAAGUGUUGAAUCUUGAAUGAGGUAGAUACUAAUAUGUUUUGAAGUUUAGUAUAUGCACGAGUAAAUUUUCUUGACUGCAAAAAAAAAGAUAAUUUUGCUAAAGCUGUGCAAGAUGGACAUACAAAUUUUUAUUUUAGUGAUUUGUUUAAUUAAGCGUUUUUUUAAAUUGGCAUAUGAAGUUGGAGUUUAUUUAUAUACCAUGUAUAUAUUUCCAUUUGACCCUGCUCUUCAUUUUCAUUCGAUUCACUUAUGGUUAAUGUACUAAAUGAUGAUAGUAAGUUUUGAAUACCAAAUACUCCCUCUGUAAACUUUUAUAAGACGUUUUAGGUCACUAUUUGGAGCAGAGGGACUACAUCUCAAUGCGUAGUGUUAUUUUGUUUAUUCCCCCUCCACCUUUUUUAAGUAGUAAAUUUUGGUUAGUUAUAGUUUUGAUAUUUCCCAAGAAAAAAUAAUAUUUAAUAACUGAAUAUGGAAACAUGUCCGAUUGCAUUGCACAUAAAAAAUAUAACAAUGUCCCAAUGCUCUCACUAUUGUUUUGCAGUUAGUAAUUAGUUUGAAGAAUCAGAUAUCACAUAAUAUAGAUUGUUGAUGUUUUGUAGAACCGAACAAUUUCUAGCAAAUGUUGAUUCAUGUUUGCAAUACUUUGCCAUGUUUGGGGACCAUAUUCGUCCUGCCAUAUGAUAUUAGCACAAUGAAAUCAGUUUAUAUUUUUUAUAUAGUGUGCAUUGUACUAAGGUUUUAUAUAUGUAAUUCUUAUGUAAUAUGUUGAAUGUAGCGACCCGACCUCAGACGGUCAAGUCUCUAUGCUUAAGUGUCAUCCCUGGAUCGGUAUGCUGACACACACAGUACUCGAGGAUUUAUAACAGAGUGCAAUCACACACUUAUUACAUUGAUAGUCUGAAAAGAGAACUUAUUACAAUAAUAUGGCUUAAGGCCAUCUAAAUAAGAUAAUAGCAGAGGGCUUCGAAGAUAAAGUGAGUCCAUCAACUCCAACGACAUAGUUAAGUGCACGACAACGACCUAGCGCACCUUACUCUUCGUCUGAAAAGUCUGCAACAUAAUACGUUGCAGCCCGAAAAUGGGUCAGCACAAGGAAUAUGCUGGCAAAAUAACACUGUAGAGCAAUGAACAUGUAAC